UACGUAGGGGGCAAGCGUUGUCCGGAAUUAUUGGGCGUAAAGAGCUCGUAGGCGGUCUGUCGCGUCGGCUGUGAAAACUCGGGGCUCAACCCCGAGCCUGCAGUCGAUACGGGCAGACUAGAGUGCUGUAGGGGAGACUGGAAUUUAUGGUGUAGCAGUGAAAUGCGUAGAGAUCAUAAGGAAGACCAGUGGCGAAGGCGGGUCUCUGGACAGUUCCUGACACUGAGGCACGAAGGCCAGGGGAGCAAACGGG
rnacentral:rRNA from 1 species